UGCAUCGGCCGGGAAUCGAACCCGCCCGCAUUGCAGGCGAGCAUUCUACCACUGAACCAAAAGC
rnacentral:tRNA from 1 species